rnacentral:tRNA from 1 species
GGGCCGUUAGCUCAACUGGCAGAGCACCUGACUCUUAAUCAGUAGGUUGAAGGUUCGAUUCCUUCACGGCCCACCA